UUUAAAGUUUUUUUUUUUUUUUUUUAUUUCAUAAGUAUUUUUUCAUUUUUUAUUAAAGGUAUUGUUAGCUCAAACACCAGCACUGGUCUUAGUGUAUGCUUAAUACACACAUUACACAGCAGGGCACUGGAAUACUAGAGAACUAGACUACACUGUUAGAGUUAGUAAUGCUUCUAACUUUACAUGUUUACAAUGCAUUUAAACUUUCCGGUGCAUUUAGUUUUAUGCAUUGACAGUGUCGGACCAUCCCCGGAAAUUCGCUGAAGCGUAUAAAGAGAAUCUAACCAACACGUUCAUAGGCUAUGCCCAUCUUUAAAUGUAAUCAAUACUUCUUAACCAAGGACCAGUGCGAAAAUAAAGGUCAAAUGCAAGCUGGCGAAAUUUAUUACUAGAAAGCAUGAAACGAACUAAAGGAGAACGAAUCAAAUUAAAAUGCAAGGCAGGGAAAGGGAACACACUUUACUAUAGAUUUCAAAACUGAAUAUUUAAUAGACAUUUUACAAAGGCAGCAGAAAA